rnacentral:lncRNA from 1 species
AGCAGGAGUACUUAUAAUCUAUUGUCUACCUGCUUUUGAUGAAAGCCAGUUUCAAAUUAACUAUAUAUUUGACACAACAUCUUACCAUGUAUCCUAGGCUGGCCUCUGCUUCCUAAUUGUACCCAAUAAGGUAUAUAGGGAGGGGUUGGAGAGGUGGCUCAAAGUUAGGAGUACAGCUGCUCUCAGAGAGGACCUGGGCUCAGUUCCCAGUACCUCCAUGGCGCCUAACUCAUGACUAUCUGUACUCUAGUCUCCAAGACUCUAAUGCCCUCUUUGACCUUCUUGGACUCCUGAGUGCAUAUACUCAGGCACAUAUACAUAAAAAAUUUUCUUUUUAAAAGAUACUGUCCAUUUUCUGGUGUCUGUUCAGUUAGGCCUUAUUAUAAUACUAUUUUCCUUUUUUAAUUGUAGAAGACGUGUAGCAAUGGCUGCUGUUUAUUCUGGUAUUUCCUUUAAACUUAAAAGCAAGACAACUUCCUGGGAAGAUAAACUAAAAUUAGCUCACUUUGCUUGGAUUUCCCAUCAGUGCUUUCUACCAAAUAAAGAACAAGUAAGUUUAACGUAGAACUUGUACGUUUUAUGAUCUAAAAUAAUUUCAUGUACAGCUUGGAUAUUAACAUUUAAAAGAUUAGAAGACAUGUUGGGGAGAAAACUUGAUUUGCAGUCACUGUCAGUGAAGAAGCAGUGGGGCUUUUGGAUUGCUAGGCGGGAAGUUGAGAAGUUGGAAAGUGCUAGUCUGAGGGCAAGCUAGAAGCAGGUAGGUACCAGUUAUGAUGUUCUAUUGGGAUUUCUUAAGUUGCUGUGGCUAAAAAGUAGGCAGUGCAGCUGUGGUAGGAUGACAAGCUCAUGGAAUAGGGCUGGCCUCCAUCCAGUGCUGGUAUCAGACUGUAUUAUAAUUGUGAGAGAAGUGACGAGGUGUGGUUUGCAGAACAGUUAGCUUACCUGUCAGUGUCCACACCUACUACGUGUUUGAGUCAUCUUGACAGCUAGGCAGUUCCUUGGUCAGCGCUGCACAACAUGAAACAAAAGGGUAAUCCUGGUAGGCUUGAGCGAGAGCCCAGCUCGUCUGUCACACCUACGGACAGUGCUGCAGAGUAGAAGUGAGCAAGGGCAACUCAGUCCAGUGUUUGUCCAGCACACCUGAGGCCCUGGCUUUCUUAUCGUCAGCAUCACCACCACCAUCUUCACGAUCUCACACAUAUGGCACACACAGAAGACUCAUACACACAGCUCUGCGAGCUGAAGCAUCACCUUUUCUCAGUGUAUUGUGCUUGAGAAAACACUGUUACAGGAAUGGAAACUGCAUGUGUCCAAAGCCCUUUUCUCCCAUAGACACUUGUGCAUCCGUUCCCCUUGGCUGUGUUUCCUGAAUGAGGGAGACUUAGAAGUUACUUGUCUUGGGAAAAUGAGCACACAUGUCCGAAUGUUCUGAUUCUCAUUCCUUUUUUUCUUUAAUUAUCCCUCAUUGCCAUUUGAUUUGCAUAUAUGAUUGCUUCUGUGGACAUUGUGGAUAUUUAUGUGUUUCUCUUAGAAAAGACCAUUGAAUAAUGUUAAUUUUAUUGAAACUUUUCUUUGAGGCCAGAUGAAGACAUCAUUGUUUUUCCUUAAUAAACAUUUCAAGAUUUCAAAACAUUAUUAUAAUGUUAACACAAGUGAGGAUUAAAAAAAAUACUUUCACUAUACCUGUCAUGCUGCCAUUGAAUUGAGACCUUUUGGCCUCAGCUUCCAAGUAGUGAUAUUAAUAGCGUGUGUAAUCAUAUUCAGCCUAUCGGUUUCAGAUAGGAUCUUGCUGUGUUGCUCAGUCUCAUCUUGAACUUGUAGACUGAAGUGCUGCUCCUGCAGUGAGUGCUUCAACCUCAGUGGUAACUGAUACUGCAGAUACACUUUUAACAGGAAAUCGUUUUUGUUUUUCAUGCAGUAGAAUUUGGUCAUGAUUGGGUGAAAAUCUUUCAUGUAAGAACUUCAUUUACAGAAUAUGUUUUCUAUAAAUGCUUUCUAUAAAUCCAGGUUUUACUUGAUUGGGCAAGGCAGUCAUUGGUUGCAUUUUAUAAGAAAAAGCUUGAACUGCAGGAAGAUAUUGUUGAAAGGCUCUGGAUCUAUGUAGAUAACAUUCUACAUAGUAAGAAAUUGCAGAACCUCCUUAAGGAUGGGAAGACUGUAAAUCUCCAGCUCUCCCUUGUCAAGGUAAGUGAGUCACGGUCUCUUCUGUUGACCUGUGCUAUGUGCGUCUUGGUUCGUUUCUUGUUACUGCCAAGUUUUAGAAAAUUAUGUGAAUAUGUGGGAAAUUGCAGGGAAAAGAAGGAAGUUGUAAUAGUAUCCCCCCCACCCCCCAAUUUUUUUUUUUUUUUAAAACAGGGUAUCUCUAUGUAACCCUGGAUGUCCAGGAACUUUCUACAUAGACCAGGCUGGCUUUGAACUCAGAGAUCUGCAUGCCUCUGCCACCUGGGAUUAUAAGCAUGGGCUACCGUGCCUGGUGUAUGAAUUAGUUUUUUUCUUUUUUUAAAAAAAGAUUUAUUUAUUUUUAUUUAUAUGAGUACAUUGUAGCUGUCUCCAGACACACCAGAAGAGGGCAUCAGAUCCCAGUACAGAUGGUUGUGAGCCACCAUGUGGUUGCUGGAAAUUGAACUCAGGACCUCUAGUAGAGCAUUCGGUGCUCUUAACCACCUGGCCAUCUCUCCAGCUCUGAACUAGUUUUUAUUACUGUCUGUUCUCAACUCAUGUUCCUCUUUGUAUACCCAUGUGCUGGGAAUAUAGAUGUGUAUCAUCAGAGCCAGUUUGAUUACUGUUUAACUGGAAAAGGUAGCUAGCAGAUUUUAACUACACUGACACACGCAUACACACAGACACUUGUAAUUUUCUGGAGGGAGAUCAAAGAUCAAAAUGGGCAGGAAUUAUCUCAAGAAUUUGUGACUAAAAUCAAAAAAGUCUGUAUUUCUCUGUCAAAAUAGUAUUUCCGGAUACCAUGAUAAUAGGUAUUACCAUUAAAAUCCAGUACUAAUGAGCAUUUAGUACUCAUGACAGGCUCAAAGGGCAUAAGGAUAUAGCUGUUCAUCACAUGAAUAGUAAGUGGCAGUGUUGGGAUUUGAACCUAGAUGUGCCUAGUGACUAAGCUGUUCAGCCAGAGCCUCACAGAAUAGAAUGGAACAGAACAGGGAACAAAGAAGCAGCUAAGGUGCCAGUAAUUCUUAAGACCACACCCUUUAUUGUGAUACUUUAAAAAAAAAAAUUAUUAUUCUAAGUACACUGUAGCUGUCUUCAGAUGCACCAGAAGAGGGCGUCAGAUCUCAUUGCAGAUGGUUGUGAGCCACCAUGUGGUUGCUGGGAAUUGAACUCAGGACCUUCAGAAGUGCAGUCGGUGCUCUUAACCACUGAGCCACCUCUCCAGCUCCUAUUGUGAUACUUUUAAAUAAUGGGUCAUUCUGAGUGGUUCUUCAGGCAAGGCUAGAAGAUCAAGUAUCUCUGUAUUUAAAAAAUACUUAAAAACUUUAAAAUAAAUGUAUGUUUAUAGCUAUAUAAAAUAUUGUUAAAGACACAUACUUAAUUUGAAUACAAGUUAUGCUUUAGGGUCUAAGUAUGAAAAAGAUUUUUUAUUGAUGAUCUUUAUAAUAAGAUAUCUGGAAGCUACUGGUGAUAUGUUGACACCUAAGGAUUCAGCACAUUUGCUGCAGUUUUAAAAAACAAUAAUCCAGUACUUAACUUGAAUGGAAAUAAUGAUUGUUUUGUGCAGUUGCUAAUAGGUUAGCACCUCAAACAGUUUUUUGUUUGUUUUUUUGUUUUUUUGAGACAGGGUUUCUCUGUGUAGCCCUGGCUGUCCUGGAACUCACUAUGUAGACCAGGCUGGCCUUGAACUCAGAAAUCUGCCUGCCUCUGCCUCCCGUGUGCUGGGAUUAAAGGAGUGUGCCACCAUGCCUGGUUUCUCAAACAGUUUUGAUUCUAAGAUUUUUGUUAGUCUGGGAGCAAGUCACUGGCUUAACAGUAAUUUUUGGGAUCUGCCUGCUUUAGUGUCUAAAUUUGAAAUUUUGAAAGCUGAAAGCAGUGUUUGAAAUAUAUGAUAAAAAAGGCAGGUACUCAUCUAUCAUAGGCUGGCACUGAAUUAGCUGGUUAAUUGAGGAAUGGCCUUGAACUCCUGAUCAUCUCUGCGUCUUGAGUACUGAGAUUACAGGCAUGCACGACCACACUCAGUUUAUCUAGUGCUGGGGGUUGAACAUAGAGCUUCAUACUUGUUAGGUAAGCACUCUACCAGUGGAGGAGUUACAUCUCUAGCCCUGCUUUGGUCUUAAUAGGAAAAAUCUGACUAUUUUAUAUAUAUAUAUAUAUCCAUCCAUCCACAGGGUCAUAACUCAAGUGCUACCUGAUGACACCUAGAUAAAGAUUUAGGGUCUAUACCUUUCUUCUUACUGGGUUGCCACAUCCAGCCUUGAUGUGAGGGUUUGUGCCUAGCCUUAUUACAUCUUGUUAUGUAAUGUUCGGUUGCUAUCCCUGGGAGACCUGCUCUUUUCUGAAGGGAAAGGGAGGAACUGUGGAUCUAGGGGGAAGGGGAGGUGGAGAUGGGGCAGGAACUGGGAGGAGGAGUAGAGGGGGGAGGCUGUAGUUGAAAUGUACUUUAUGGGAGAAAUAAAU